CUGGAGAAGCAGCUCAUGGGGGCGUAUGCUGAGGGACUGUAUCUUUUCCCAGGUUCCUCUCCCUUGCUGGCCCGCGGCAUAACUUGAAGAAACUCCCUGACAGGGUCCCACUCCCCCAGUGCUCCGCGACACCAGAGAACAUGGAUUGGCCCCCAGAAACCGGGACCCUAAAUAAAUGUCCCCACCUUUCCAUUGUUUCCUCACGUAGUUCAUACAGAGAUGUAACUAACACGGGAAAACUGUUACCAGAGAACAGUUGUUAGAGCAGAAACAAUCGCCAAGGGAACUCUGGCUAUGAUACUGCAGCAGCCUGCUCUUGCCCAUCCUAAAAGUUCACCUGCAGACUCUAACAGCUUCAUUCUUCUACGUUAGGAGGAUACAGCACACCUACCCGCAACCCCAGUCAGACAGGAUCACAGCUGAAAGUUGGUUUUGAAGCCCUGAGGAGACUUUGAACUUGGAAUUUCGAGAAAAGAUGGAGCUGUGUGUUUAUGGAGCUUCGCCGGGAGAAACCAUACGUUUUUUGCAUUAUGACCCCUUUGGGGUCAGAGAUGGAGUAUUACAGUUUGAAAAUGAAUGUCACCUGCAGAUCCUCACGCUGGGUGCUUGUUGCCAGCUGAGGAGGUUUUGGACAGUGACUGGUUGGAUGGAUCCUAAGGGCUUUGACCACUUGCUGGAUUCACAAUAUAAUGACAGGGGGUCGUAAGAAGUAAGAGGCAGAGUCUAGUUAAAGGAAGUAGGCCUACUUAGUGAGAAGACAUCUUGACCCCUCCCUUCCCUCUGUCUUGUGUUUCCUCGCUGCCGCGAUGUCCUGCCUUAAGUCACGACCCAAAUGUGAUCCAGCCAAUCCUGUCCUGACAUCUCCGGAAGACUGAGCCCAAAUACAUCUUUUCCCCUUUAAAUUAUUCCUUUCAGGUGUUGACCCCAGUGAUGAAAAGUCUGAAGAACACAGUCCCUCUGCCUAUUGGCUAUAUUGUAUGUCCAGUAGAAUAAUAACACAGAGCGCAGAAUUUUGGCCCAUAGCAGGCUUUGGUCAUCUAGCGUAUGUAAUGCCUGGACAGUGUCUGAUUUUUGAUUACACAAACAAGUUUUGGAUGGUUAAUAUUGACCAUCAACUUGAUCGGAUUGAGAUUAUGUCUGGAAGGGUAUUUCCAGAGAGGGUUAGUUCAUGAGGGUCAUGAGUUCGUGAGGGUCAUGACCUAAGAGAUGGGUUAAUGUUUUUAUGGAUUCAUAACAUGAUGCUGUUGUUGGGAGGGGUGUAAAGUAGGAGGUGUGACUUAGUUGGAGAAUGUAAGUCGCCACUGGCCUCAUGUUUUAGGGAUAUAUCUUGCUCUGGCCUUGUCCUAUAUCAUCCCUUAUAAAAUGAACAAUUUAUCCA